AGCGAACGCUGGCGGCAGGCCUAACACAUGCAGGUCGAACGAAGUCUUCGGACUUAGUGGCGGACGGGUGAGUAACACGUGGGAACGUGCCUUUAGGUCCGGAAUAACUCAGGGAAACUUGUGCUAAUACCGAAUGUGCCCUUCGGGGGAAAGAGUUAUCGCCUUUAGAGCGGCCCGCGUCUGUGUAGCUAGUUGGUGAGGUAAAGGCUAACCAAGGGUACGAUCAGUAGCUGGUCUGAGAGGAUGACCAGCCACAUUGGGACUGAGACACGGCCCAAAAUCCUAAGGGAGGCAGCAGUGGGGAAUCUUGCGCAAUGGGCGAAAGCCUGACGCAGCCAUGCCGCGUGGAUGAUGAAGGUCUUAGGAUUGUAAAAUCCUUUCACCGGUGAAGAUAAUGACUGUAGCCGGAGAAGAAGCCCCGGCUAACUUCGUGCCAGCCGCCGCUGUAAAAC
rnacentral:rRNA from 1 species